rnacentral:rRNA from 1 species
CUACGGGACGCACCAGUGAGGAAUAUUGCACAAUGGGGGGAACCCUGAUGCAGCAACGCCGCGUGGAGGAUGACGCAUUUCGGUGUGUAAACUCCUUUUAUAUGUCAAGAAAAUGACGGUAGCAUAUGAAUAAGCACCGGCUAACUCCGUGCCAGCAGCCGCGGUAAUACGGAGGGUGCAAGCGUUACUCGGAAUCAACUGGGCGUAAAGGACGCGUAGGCGGGUUGGAAAGUCAGGUGUGAAAUCCUACAGCUUAACUGUAGAACUGCACUUGAAACUUCUAAGCUAGAGUAUGGGAGGGGGAGAUGGAAUUAGUGGUGUAGGGGUAAUAUCCGUAGAUAUCACUAGGAAUACCUAAAGCGAAGGCGAUCUCCUGGAACAUUACUGACGCUAAGGCGUGAAAGCGUGGGGAGCAAACAGGAUUAGAUACCCCAGUAGUC